AGAGGCCUAGAGACCACAUCCCCCUCUGUGGGUCAGAGAUCAAGCCUGCUGCUCUCCACCAUGGCCUGGACCCCUCUCCUGCUCCCCCUCCUCGCUCUCUGUACAGGCUCUGUGGCCUCCUAUCAGCUGACCCAGUCGCCUUCUUUGUCAGUGGCUCCAGGAGAGACAGCCAGGAUCACCUGCUCUGGAGACUUACUAGACAAAAAAUAUACUCAUUGGUUCCAGCAGAAGCCAGGCCAGGCCCCUGUGCGGGUCAUCUAUAAUGAUAGAGAACGGCCCUCAGGGAUCCCUGACCGAUUCUCUGGCUCCAGCUCAGGGAAGACGGCCACCCUGACCAUCAGUGGAACCCAGGCCGAGGAUGAGGCUGACUAUUACUGCCUAUCAAGCAACAGUGAUGGUACUACUCACAGUGACAGAGGCAGAUGGGGAAGUGAGACACAAACUCCCUUCCUAGUGUGUGUCACUCUCCUACAGCCCCAGGAGGACUGGUGACAAAUCCAUGAGCAA